AGGGAAACGACGGGGAACCUCAAGUAUCCAUAUAUCUAAAUAUACUUGCUUAAACGUAGCUGAGCUGUGAAAAUAACGCCUGGAUGUUUUUGUUCAUGGAUGGUCGGGUCUUGUGACUGCACUAAGCGCGCUAUCCUGAGUGUGCACCCCCCCCCCCUUCCGGCAGGGGGUCAUGUCCUGGAAAUCUGGCCUUCAAGUUUCAUAUCAAGUUAUGUGGGUAAUUAUGUGUGAUGGAUGUCACUGAACCUGCAUCUCAUGUGGGAAUUUGAAGGAAACGGCCUUGCUCUUUCCUGACUUCAAGAUGCACACUGGGUUCAAACUGACAUAAGGAACAGAAAAAAAAUGAUCUUCAGAUACUUAAAUGUCACAUUUGCAUGAGGACAUUUCAAACUGCUUUACUUUUGAAGUAACUUUUUAACUUUACAUACGAUCAUGACAAUGGAAUGCUGCAUUGUCGACAUUGCAAAGCUUAAUCUCGGCACAGAUAUAAGCUACACUGAUCGCUGUCCUAAUAUGGCCUUUAACCAAAUACCUAAGACAUAUGAUUAUUGGAAUGCUGUAGUCUACUUACCACCAUGGGAUGUUUUAAAGCCUCUGCUCAUAUGAACUCUAACAGUUACGGACAAGCAAUAAAGAUGUUGUACUUGGCGACAUCAAGCGGUGUGUUUUCAAACUACAAAUAAUAUCGCUUUACCCCCUACACAUCCACAGUAGAUUAUUAGUGCAUUAAAAAAUAUAUAUAUAUUACGUCAAUAAAUAUGAUUUUGAAUUAUGCUCUGUAAACCUAUAUCUAGCCUAUACAAAAUGCCUAAUUUAAUUCUAGGAAUUUUCGCAUACUUCUUGUUAAGAUGUCAAAAUGUCACGUUCAUAGGGGCUGAAAAACUCACAAUAAACUAAUAAUAAAGUUAGUUUGCAACUAACAACUAUAUUGGUAAUUUGGUCGCACCACUUGAAGGCAUAACUUAACCAGUAGCUAAACUCUCCGCGAGGUUAUGUUUAGUCGCAUAAUAUGACGUUUACCAGUAGGCUAAUUCUUGAGACAUGGGACAAAACACGUCCAGCAAUUGUAACUGCUAUCAGGUUUAAAAAAUAAAAAUAUUUGCAAUUGUAAAUGUUGUGGGGAUUAAUAAUAGAAUGUAUUUAUCACAAUUGUGAAAUUAAAAUUUCAAUUUAAUUUUAGCAUUAUAAUAGUGAAAUCGUUAUUGUCUUCUCACUAGGCUACAUCUAAAACAGUGUGUCCACAGAGGAGGGUUCAAUCAUUCAUAUGCCAAUUUUUAUUUUUUUUUUAAUGAUGAAAAGACCUUGCUUUAUCAAAAGCAACACUUAAUAAUAUCUCAUAUCAAAGCAAGGUUGUUUUUCAGUGACACAUGCAUGUUUCAUAAGGUUUCAAAUUUGUGUCCUCACUUCUUGUCAACACCAUCAGACAUUCAUUAAAA